rnacentral:rRNA from 1 species
AGAUUGAACGCUGGCGGCAGGCCUAACACAUGCAAGUCGAGCGGCAGCACGGGUACUUGUACCUGGUGGCGAGCGGCGGACGGGUGAGUAAUGCCUAGGAAUCUGCCUGAUAGUGGGGGAUAACGUUCGGAAACGGACGCUAAUACCGCAUACGUCCUACGGGAGAAAGUGGGGGAUCUUCGGACCUCACGCUAUCAGAUGAGCCUAGGUCGGAUUAGCUAGUGGUAGGUAAGCCUACAAGGCUACGAUCCGUAACUGGUCUGAGAGGAUGAUCAGUCACACUGGAACUGAGACACGGUCAGACU